GACGAACGCUGGCGGCGUGCUUAACACAUGCAAGUCGAGCGAUGAAGCACCUUCGGGUGUGAAUUAGCGGCGAACGGGUGAGGAACACGUGAGAAAUCUGCCUUCAACACUGGGAUAACUCCGGGAAACCGGGGCUAAUACCGGAUAUGAAACCUGCGGGCAUCCGCGGGUUUGGAAAGUUUUUCGGUUGAAGAUGAUCUCGCGGCCUAUCAGCUUGUUGGUGAGGUAAUGGCUCACCAAGGCGACGACGGGUAGCCGGCCUGAGAGGGCGACCGGCCACACUGGGACUGAGACACGGCCCAGACUCCUACGGGAGGCAGCAGUGGGGAAUAUUGGGCAAUGGAGGAAACUCUGACCCAGCGACGCCGCGUGCGGGAUGAAGGCCUUCGGGUUGUAAACCGCUUUCAGCAGGGAAGAAGCGAAAGUGACGGUACCUGCAGAAGAAGCACCGGCUAACUAUGUGCCAGCAGCCGCGGUAAUACAUAGGGUGCAAGCGUUGUCCGGAAUUAUUGGGCGUAAAGAGCUCGUAGGUGGUUCGUCACGUCGGAUGUGAAACUCUGGGGCUUAACCCCAGACCUGCAUUCGAUACGGGCGAGCUUGAGUAUGGUAGGGGAGUCUGGAAUUCCUGGUGUAGCGGUGGAAUGCGCAGAUAUCAGGAGGAACACCAAUGGCGAAGG
rnacentral:rRNA from 1 species